ACCGUGGAUCAACAAUACUAAUAGAGCCUUUUCUCCUCUCUCCUGCUUCACACUUUUUCUGCAAAGAACACCUGAGACUGUGUGUUCUUCACCUCAGUCUGACAUGAGGGAGGUUUCCUCUCUGUUCAAACCAGAAGAACCCAUUUGUUCCCUGAAGGAUCCCACCACUUGCCCACAGUCACUGUGUCCAUCCAUUUGCUGAGGGAGAUUUCCCCAAUGGAAAACCCACAGAGAUUUACCCCAAGGAAAGCUGUGGAGAACUGCAGCCAAUUAAGUGCUUAAAUCACCUUGUGAUUGAGUAAAAUAGUGUUAGAUCUAAGCUUACUUUAAUAAUAAAUUAAAAAAAUCAAGAUAAUAA